AGAGUUUGAUCAUGGCUCAGAACGAACGCUGGCGGCGUGGAUAAGACAUGCAAGUCGAGCGGGACAUGAAGGGUAGCAAUAUUCUUUAUGUUCAGCGGCGCAAGGGUGCGUAACACGUGGGUAAUUUGCCAUGAAGUCUGGAAUAACUUGCUGAAAGGCGAGCUAAUGCCGGAUGUGACUUCCGAAGGGCAUCUUUUGGAAUUCAAAGUUGGGGACCGUAAGGCCUGACGCUUUGUGACAAGCCCGCGGUCUAUCAGCUAGUUGGUGAGGUAACGGCUCACCAAGGCUAAGACGGAUAGCUGGUCUGAGAGGACGACCAGCCACACUGGAACUGAGACACGGUCCAGACACCUACGGGUGGCAGCAGUCGAGAAUUUUUCACAAUGGGCGAAAGCCUGAUGGAGCGACGCCGCGUGGGGGAUGAAUGGCUUCGGCCCGUAAACCCCUGUCAUUCGCGAACAAACCUUUCCACUUAACACGUGGAGAGCUGAUUGUAGCGAAAGAGGAAGGGACGGCUAACUCUGUGCCAGCAGCCGCGGUAAUACAGAGGUCCCAAGCGUUGUUCGGAUUCACUGGGCGUAAAGGGUGCGUAGGUGGUGAGGAAAGUCGGAUGUGAAAUCUCCAAGCUCAACUUGGAAACUGCAUUGGAAACUACCUUGCUAGAGGAUUUGAGGGGGGAUUGGAAUACUUGGUGUAGCAGUGAAAUGCGUAGAUAUCAAGUGGAACACCAGUGGCGAAGGCGAAUCCCUGGAAAAUACCUGACACUGAGGCACGAAAGCUAGGGGAGCAAACAGGAUUAGAUACCCUAGUAGUCC
rnacentral:rRNA from 1 species